CUGCAUGGCUGUCGUCAGCUCGUGUCGUGAGAUGUUGGGUUAAGUCCCGCAACGAGCGCAACCCUUGCCUUUAGUUGCCAGCAGUUCGGCUGGGCACUCUAAAGGGACUGCCGGUGUUAAACCGGAGGAAGGUGGGGGAUGACGUCAAGUCCUCAUGGCCUUUAUGACCAGGGCUACACACGUACUACAAUGGCCGAUACAAAGGGCAGCGACACUGCGAGGUGAAGCCAAUCCCGUAAAAUCGGUCUCAGUCCGGAUUGGAGUCUGCAACUCGACUCCAUGAAGUUGGAAUCGCUAGUAAUCGUGGAUCAGCAUGCCACGGUGAAUACGUUCCCGGGCCUU
rnacentral:rRNA from 1 species